AUUUUUUUCCAUUGUAAAGAAACAUCUUUGGAUCAAUUUAUACAUCAAUUGAAAUAAAGAUCUCUAUAAAAAAUAAUAUAAGAGACCGAGUCAAUACAUGAACAUUGAAAAAUUGACCCAAGAAAUAUUGAAGCACGCGUAAACUGGAGGGCCAGGAGAGAUGACGAUGGCCCAUUAAUUAUCAACUAGUUUUAAUACAACUACAAAUUUUAUUGCCUUGUUUUCGG
rnacentral:lncRNA from 1 species